UACGUAGGGGGCGAGCGUUGUCCGGAGUUACUGGGCGUAAAGGGCACGCAGGCGGUGCGGCGCGUUUCGCGUGACAGCGGAGGGCUUAACUCUCCGAGGAUGCGAAAGACGGCGGCACUUGAGGGCCAGAGAGGGACACGGGAAUUCCGGGUGGAGUGGUGAAAUGCGUAGAGAUCCGGAGGAACACCGAAGGCGAAGGCAGUGUCCUGGCUGGUGACUGACGCUGAGGUGCGAAAGCUAGGGGAGCGAACGGG
rnacentral:rRNA from 1 species